rnacentral:rRNA from 1 species
GCGAGCUGACGGAGCACGCCGCGUGAGGGAUGAAGGCCUUUGGGCUGUAAACCUCUUUUCUCAAGGAAGAAGACCUGACGGUACUUGAGGAAUAAGCCACGGCUAAUUCCGUGCCAGCAGCCGCGGUAAUACGGGAGUGGCAAGCGUUAUCCGGAAUUAUUGGGCGUAAAGCGUCCGCAGGCGGCCGUUUAAGUCUGUUGUUAAAUCGUGGAGCUCAACUCCAUCACGGCAAUGGAAACUGUUCGGCUUGAGUAUGGUAGGGGCAGAGGGAAUUUCCGGUGUAGCGGUGAAAUGCGUAGAUAUCGGGAAGAACACCAGUGGCGAAAGCGCUCUGCUGGACCAUUACUGACGCUCAUGGACGAAAGCCAGGGGAGCGAAAGGGAUUAGAUACCCCUGUAGUCCUGGCCGUAAACGAUGAACACUAGAUGUUGGGGGAAUCGACCCCCUCGGUGUCGUAGCUAACGCGUUAAGUGUUCCGCCUGGGGAGUACGCACGCAAGUGUGAAACUCAAAGG